rnacentral:lncRNA from 1 species
UGCCCAGAGCAUUUGGCAGUGGCAGCAGCAGGGCAGGUGUGCUCCCAGGGGAGCUAGAGCAACAACAAAUGGUGUUCCGUUGCAAUGUCCUCCUUUGUGGUGCCCUCUGAGGUGGUAGGGGCUGCAAGUGGUUCUUGUUCAGGGAUACCCAGUGGCAGUGUGCUACACCUACCUCUAGAGUCAGAGAUAAUGGCGGUGGUUUGCCCCUGCCACCUGCAGACCAUGCAAGAAGCACACCACCCUGCUUAGCCUACGCAAGAGGUGCUGCACCAGCUUGGGAAGAGACAAAGAUCAAGCCUCUGGGCACUACCCAGAGCAUUUGGCAGUGGCAGCUAUGGGGCAGGUUUAUUCCCAGGGCGGGUGAGAGCAAUAACAUGUGGUGCCUGGUUUCAGUGCCCUCUUUCUUUUGCCAACCUCUGAGGUGACUGGGGCCACAGGUGGAGCCCACUCACAGGCCCCCAGUGGUGGCAGGCCAGACCUUCCUCUGGCCUCUGAGAUGGCCGCUGCGAUCCUCCCUGCUGCCUGUAGAUCACUCAGAGGCACCAGGUCGCACUUGCCCCCCACUGCCCUUAGCCCACACAAGAGGUGCCUGGCCACCAGUGGCCUGCACAAGAAGUGCCCAGUCUCUUGUAGCCCAAGCAAGUGGCUUCUUGCCACCCACUGCCCUCACCAGAGGUGCUCUGCUCUUUGAGAGCCUGCAUGGCAUGUGUGCCCAGGGAGAUUCCUCUGGUGGUCUGCCCCUCCUCCUCUCACCCUCCCCAACAAUGGCACCUUGCUUCUGUGGGCCCAGACCUUCUCCCGGGUUCCCUCUGCCAUGGCGUUCCGCUCCCCUGUGUGUGGCACAGUGCUCCUUAGCCCCGAGGCUGUGCCCCCACAGCUGACCCUAAUCCUCUCCCCAGGACUGACAUCUGGAGCCUAACUCUCAGCACCCAGUCCCUGCCUGGGCAUCUCAGGCUGUGGUGUCUGGGGCGGUGAUGCAGAUGGCUCUCACUCUACUUUGCCCUCCUCAGUCCAGCUGCUGCGCUUUUCUCGGCGACUCUGAGGUCUCUCCAUCUCCGAUGAGCUCCCCGUUGGUUAGGUGGCUUCCCGGGAUGUGGGUUCCUUUUCUCCUUCACAGCUCCCUCUCAGGAAGGCUAGGCCUUUUCUCUCUCUCUCUUUUUUUGCUUUUGUUCUACCCAGUUAUGUCAAGAGUUUCUUGCCUUUUUUGGAGCUUUAAGUUCUGUCAGCGUUCAGUAGAUGUUCUGUGCGAGUGGUUUUACAGGUAGACGUGCUUUUUUUAAAUGUGUUUGUGGGAGAAGGUGUGUGCCAUUUUACUCCUUUGCCUUCUUGAUCCACCUCCCCUCAGGAUGUGUUUAAGUCAAAUUAUUACACUGUAUACCUUAAACUUAACCAGUGCUCUAUGGCCAUGUAGGGGGGAAAGAAUGAUAAUGAAACACCCUGGAGUUAAAUAUGGGAGAGCACUUACCACUUUUAAGCCUGAACAGGUAGGGGGUGGGCAUGGCUUCAGGAACCUGGCGUGGAUAGCUGUGCAGAGAGGACUCUGAUAGGGGCUGUCACCUUUGGUGCUGAGACACAGCUAACGCUGCUCUGGGAAGGAGUUAGGGGGUGAAUAUCCCAGCAUCACUCUCUUCCUGCCCUUUCACCAUAUACUUCACAUGAAAAUGACCUGUGGGCAAGCCAGGAUUUUCCUCAUGGAACCCGUUGGCAUGCAAGCCUAGUGUUCUGCAGAGUUCUGCAGCAUCUAAUUGAGCAGAGAUGGCCUGGGCUUUUGUCAAAGUCAAUUUGAACAUUUCCCUCAAUAGCUAGGGGGAAACCUCAGUAAAUACGACACUAGCUGCUUUCUAUUUGUUCUUCCAAAUCUAGUCUUCAGUAUUCUGUGGUUUAGAAGACAGACCUGCAUGAACUUCAUGACCCCAGGCUUUGCAAGUAAGGUCUGGCCAGUUGGAUUAGAACCCAAAGGUCACUUUCUCUCUGCGCUUCUGUGUGUGGGAGUAAAGAAAAGGAAUCCUGAACCAGGGAGGUCACAUCAGGAGAUGAAGGAAGAUAAGAAAACCAUCAGGGGAAAAUUCUUUAGUCUUUCGGAAGGAGGGGAGGGGAGAGGAGGAUUGCCUGUGGUAAAAACAAGAUUCAACCCAGCAGAAACAUAUGGCUGAUUAGAAGGCGGAAGCUCACCAGAGAACAGAAGAUAUGUUGGGUGAUAAUAGAGCUUAGAGUGAAAGAAGCCCCAUCUGUAGCCAUCUCUUCAAGGCCAGAUCUAAAUAUGCAGCUUAUGGGUGGCUCUACCCUUUUGCAGAUUGAUUCUCCUCACCCACCCCUAAGGGGCACAGCAGGGAAAAGCACAACACCCAGAGUAACACUAAACAUGAGAACACAGCAGAGACAACACUCCCUGGCUGUGAGCAGAUGGGGAGGAGAGCAGGUCUUGGGAAGUCCUCCAGCAGGAAAGCAAAAGAAGGUAAAGAAGUUUUGCCAAGAAUAUGCCACGUGGUGCCAUCAUUUUCUGUUUCUAAGUGUUUGGUAAUAUUGUCCAGCUCACAUAAAAGCAACACAGUACAAUUUUAGGAGGACAUAUUCUUGUUUUACUGGGGUGGUGAGAGAGGAUGUUGUGGGGAAAAAAUUGGGGGCCCUGAAAGCUGAGGGGCAAUGUUUAAGCACCUGACAUGGUAGGUAAAAUGGCUGAACCAGCAAGUCUCAGAGCUAAUUCUACUAGAAUAGGGGUGGGGUAUAACAAAUGUGGUGAUGACUUCACUUUUCCACCCAAGGUGUCGCUGGUUUAGACUCCAGUAGAGGCAGAACAUCAGUCCUGACCCACCGAACUGAGAGGCACAUUCAUUUCUCUGCCACUUCCGAGGAACAGAGAGCACAGGGAGAAAAUACAGAAUAGUCAACUAUUCUGAGAGAGACACAGUGCAUGCCUAGCAAAGCCCAGCCACUCUUCCUGUGGUUUGUAAACUCAGGUGCUCAGCAGUUGUGCCUUAGUGCUACUCUCUUAGCCUGGGGUCUCAGGAGAAAGCAGUCUGACGCUCAUCUUUUAUGAAGGUAGUUCACUUGAGGAUGUUAUCUCUGGGGGUCUUGAGUGAAGACUAGGAAGAAUGAAAUGGGGAAGAGGGAUCACCCAGACAAGGAUACAUCUUUGAGCAGGUCACAGAUGUGGGCAAUGGAACCUUGGUCCCACUUUGCGCUCCGAGUGUCCUGUAGAGUGCCCUCUGAAUUGACUUCUAUGGGCCUGAAGAGCAGGCAUUUACCCACUGACUCCAGCUGUGCACUGACCCAAGGCUACCCCAUAGAACGCCGAUUUUCCAGGUUCAUGCAUGCAUUGGUACCAGUGGGGUCUCCCCUGGUAUCAGAUGUCAGAUGUCAGAGAAGUCCAAGCACAGAAAGCAAGAGAAUGGGGUGCAGCAGAGGCAAAGGGCUGACAGAUUUUACUUCUGAUGGGGUAAAAGAUGUGAGGUGUAGCUCAAGAAAUACUCAAUGCAAAUAACUUAAAAUUUUGCUUAAGAU